GACGAACGCUGGCGGCGUGCCUAAUACAUGCAAGUAGAACGCUGAAGAGAGGAGCUUGCUCUUCUUGGAUGAGUUGCGAACGGGUGAGUAACGCGUAGGUAACCUGCCUUGUAGCGGGGGAUAACUAUUGGAAACGAUAGCUAAUACCGCAUAACAAUAGGUGACACAUGUCAUUUAUUUGAAAGGGGCAAUUGCUCCACUACAAGAUGGACCUGCGUUGUAUUAGCUAGUAGGUGAGGUAACGGCUCACCUAGGCGACGAUACAUAGCCGACCUGAGAGGGUGAUCGGCCACACUGGGACUGAGGCACGGCCCAGACUCCUACGGGAGGCAGCAGUAGGGAAUCUUCGGCAAUGGGGGCAACCCUGACCGAGCAACGCCGCGUGAGUGAAGAAGGGUUUCGGAUCGUAAAGCUCUGUUGUAAGUCAAGAACGAGUGUGAGAGUGGAAAGUUCACACUGUGACGGUAGCUUACCAGAAAGGGACGGCUAACUACGUG
rnacentral:rRNA from 1 species